rnacentral:lncRNA from 1 species
CGCCAAGAUGCCCAACCAACAUCACUGAUAUCAUCUGAAUAGAGUACUGGAAUAAGCUCACCCCUAUGAGAGGACCUGCCAGCCAUACUUGUUUCUUUGCUUCUUCCCAUAUUAUUUUCUUUCUUCUAACUUCAUUAAUUCCAUUGCUGUUCACUGCUUCGUUUUCAGGCGGUAUCUGAAUCAAAGCUGAAGUUAAAGACUUCUUGUCUUCUUCUCUCUCCAUCUUCUUUUGAAGCACACUAAAGAAGAUGAUGGGGUUGUUGAGGUUUUGAUUUUCCAUUUAAAAUAAGCAAGUGUUUUAUUUUUUAUUAUAGUUAUAGAUAUAUGUGGUGGAGCUCUUAACCAAUUAAUGUUUGCUUUCAGCUGGGCCUGGGAUUGAAGGUGUUACCAGUAAUUUCAGGAUUUGUAUGCUCCAACCUUCCUUCCAUGGAUAAGUAAUUUACUCGAGCUCAACAAGUUACGUUGUUAAUUAAAAUCUCCAGGGUUUGGUGGGAUUGGGUUUUUAUUAAUUAAAAGUUUUCCUUAAAAUUAUUAUUCUACGGUUUUCUUUGUUUUCUU